rnacentral:rRNA from 1 species
UACGUAGGGGGCAAGCGUUGUCCGGAUUCAUUGGGCGUAAAGAGCGUGUAGGCGGCCAGGUAGGUCGGUUGUGAAAACUGGAGGCUCAACCUUCAGAGGUCGACCGAAACCAUCUGGCUAGAGUCCGGGAGAGGAGAGUGGAAUUCCUGGUGUAGCGGUGAAAUGCGUAGAGAUCGGAAAGAACACCAACGGCGAAAGCACUCUGCUGGGCCGACACUGACACUGAGAGACGAAAGCUAGGGGAGCGAAUGGG